CAGAAAGCUACAAGUUCUAUUCCAGCGAAGAAAAGCAAUAAAUAUACUAACAAAAAUGAGGAAACUGUUUGUGAUGCUGUUUGCCGCUCUUCUGGUUAUUUCCCUUGUGAAUGGCUGCAAACCACCUGGAUUAGUUUGCGCUGACGAUAAAGAUUGCUGUGCACCGUUAGUAUGCAACCCAUGGGCUGGCCGCUGCACCAAGAAACCUGCUCCACCAGCACCAGUAAAUCCACCACAAGAACCGCCAGCACCAGCCGAUGAUACGCAAUAAAUGAUCAACUGACCGAUAUUAUAUUUUAUUCGUAGGCCUACGAAUUAAUCCUCGAAUCCACUUAUCUCUAUACAUUAUACCUAUAACAUGAACAUGAAACUGCCAA